AAAUUUAUUCACAAGUAAUAUUGUUAUGAGGUAAUUAAAAUUAUAUUCAUGAAUCUUUAAUGUUUGGUUUGUUCAAUUUGGCGUAAAAUGUGUAAGGGUUUUUGAAACUAUAUAUGACUAUUAAGUUUAUAGGAUCAAGAUUAGUAUAGUAGCUUCUUUGAGAAUCUUUAAUCUUUAAGGGUUUAAACAUGUUUGUUCUUGACUUGGGCUAAUAUUAGUAUAUACAGGGAAGAGGCUAUAGAUGCUCUUAUUUCUUGGUAAGACAAUUUCUUCUGCUCAUUUUGUAUAGGUUUUAGUUCUGCUCAUUGACAGCUCAUUAACAGAAUAAACACUACCAUUUCCCAUUGCUUCUUGGUAAGACAAUAUUGAAGAUAUUGAAGAAAUUGUCUUACUAAGAAGCUGUGAUAUUUUGUAUAGGUUUUAGUUCUGCCCAUUGCUCUAUAUUCUUGCAAAAAACUAGGAGGAAUAAUUUCAUUGCUAGAUGAAGCUUGGUAUGCUUUUUAAAUGUUUAUCUCAUUAUUUAUGAUGCUCUACAUUGUGAUUCUUGGUUGGCUCUUUGUAUGAUUUUGUGGCAGGUUUGUGGUGGAUUAAAUGAACUGUGCGUUGAGCUGAAGAGGCUUGUGAAUUC
rnacentral:lncRNA from 1 species